rnacentral:sRNA from 1 species
UUAUUCUUCCUUGCAAUGAUAAGACAGUGUUAAAGGCAUUUCUGUUCUCCUGAAAAGUGAAAGACGAGGGAAAAAGUUAUGUAACAAAGAUUAUAUAUACAUCAUCUAUCACUGAACGAAAUGCAAUGCUGGAUUCUUUCGCACCCUGUCGGGAGAAUGUGUGCCCUGCGACUGUAAUGGCAAUUCCAACGAGUGUUUGGACGGCUCAGGAUUCUGUGUGCACUGCCAGCGGAACACAACAGGAGAGCACUGUGAAAAGUGUCUGGAUGGUUAUAUCGGAGAUUCCAUCAGGGGAGCACCCCGAUUCUGCCAGCCGUGCCCCUGUCCCCUGCCCCACUUGGCCAAUUUUGCAGAAUCCUGCUAUAGGAAAAAUGGAGCUGUUCGGUGCAUUUGUAAUGAAAAUUAUGCUGGACCUAACUGUGAAAGAUGUGCUCCCGGUUACUAUGGAAACCCCUUACUCAUUGGAAGCACCUGUAAGAAAUGUGACUGCAGUGGAAAUUCAGAUCCCAACCUGAUCUUUGAAGAUUGUGAUGAAGUCACCGGCCAGUGUAGGAAUUG